GAAUGAGUUUCUGUCUACAUGGUGCCCUCCAAAAGCCUGGCAUCCUGUCCAGGGUUUACCCCCCUCUCAGCCUAUUAUUGCAGAGAGAGGGU